ACGGAAUAGAUACCCGGGUAGUCCACGCCCUAAACGAUGUCUACUAGUUGUCGGGGAUUCAUUUCCUUGGUAAACGCAGCUAAACGCGUGAAAGUAGACCGCCUGGGGAGUACGGCCGCAAGGUUAAAACUCAAAGGAAUUGACGGGACCCGCACAAGCGGUGGAUGAUGUGGAUUAAUUCGAUGCAACGCGAAAAACCUUACCUACGCUUGACAUGCCAGGAACUUUCCAGAGAUGGAUUGGUGCCCGAAAGGGAACCUGGACACAGGUGCUGCAUGGCUGUCGUCAGCUCGUGUCGUGAGAUGUUGGGUUAAGUCCCGCAACGAGCGCAACCCUUAUCCUUAGUUGCUACGCAAGGGCACUCUAGGGAGACUGCCGGUGACAAACCGGAGGAAGGUGGGGAUGACGUCAAGUCCUCAUGGCCCUUAUGUGUAGGGCUUCACACGUCAUACAAUGGUCGGUACAGAGGGUCGCCAACCCGCGAGGGGAGCCAAUCCCAGAAAACCGAUCGUAGUCCGGAUUGCAGUCUGCAACUCGACUGCAUGAA
rnacentral:rRNA from 1 species